rnacentral:rRNA from 1 species
AGUGAACGCUGGCGGUAGGCCUAACACAUGCAAGUCGAACGGCAGCACAGUAAGAGCUUGCUCUUACGGGUGGCGAGUGGCGGACGGGUGAGGAAUACAUCAGAAUCUACUUUUUCGUGGGGGAUAACGUAGGGAAACUUACGCUAAUACCGCAUACGACCUACGGGUGAAAGCAGGGGAUCUUCGGACCUUGCGCGAUUGAAUGAGACGAUGUCGGAUUAGCUAGUUGGCGGGGUAAAGGCCCACCAAGGCGACGAUCCGUAGCUGGUCUGAGAGGAUGAUCAGCCACACUGGAACUGAGACACGGUCCAGACUCCUACGGGAGGCAGCAGUGGGGAAUAUUGGACAAUGGGCGCAAGCCUGAUCCAGCCAUACCGCGUGGGUGAAGAAGGCCUUCGGGUUGUAAAGCCCUUUUGUUGGGAAAGAAAAGCAGCAGGUUAAUACCCCGCUGUUCUGACGGUACCCAAAGAAUAAGCACCGGCUAACUUCGUG